rnacentral:lncRNA from 1 species
UUUUUAUUUUAUUUUUCUUUUCUUUUUUGCCAUUUCUUAGGCCGCUCCUGCAGCUUAUGGAGAUUCCCAGGCUAGGGGUCGAAUCAGAGCUGUAGCCACCGGCCUACGCUAGAGCCACAGCAACGUGGGAUCCGAGCCACGUCUGUGACCUACACCACAGCUCACGGCAACACCGGAUCGUUAACCCACUGAGCAAGGUCAGGGAUCGAACCCGCAACCUCAUGGUUCCUAGUUGGAUUCAUUAACCACUGAGCCAUGACGGGAACUCCUGCGCUCAGAAUUUUAAUAUUACAAAAUCAUAAUGGAUCCUGAAAAUACCUGCUUUUUACUCUGAGCUCUAUAUGAAUUAUAUCAGUGAAUCCUCUAUUUGCAUAGUCUAUAAGGUAGAUACCAUGAUUGCCUCUUUUAAAAAUAAUUGUAAUAAUGGAAUUCCCGUUGUGACUCAGUAGAGAAGAAUCUGACUUGUAACCAUAAGGUUACAGGUUCAAUCCCUGGCCUCGCUCAGUGGGCUAAGGAUCCAGCGUUGCUGUGAGCUGUGGUAUAUGUUGAAGAUGCAGCUCGGAUCUGGUGUUACUGUGGUUGUGGUGUAGGCAGGCAGCUGUAGCUCCGAUUAGACCCGGGAACCUCCAGGGAACCUGGGAACCUCCAUAGGCCGCAGUUGCGGCCCUAAGAAGCAAAUAAUAACAAUAAAUAAUGCAUAGUGUUUAAUAUGUUCCAGGCACUGUUCUAAGCACUUUUACUCACACCGACUAAUUUAAUUCUCUAAACAAACCUUUGAAGUAGGUACUAUUAUUCUUCCCAUGUUAAUAGCCUGAUAGCAACCUGAAUUGUAAGGAACACACUUAGGAAGCAGCAGAGCCUGGAAACUGGUCUAAGAUCCAUGUGACUGCAUGGCCUCCCCAAAUUCCCAGGCCAAAAUUAUAAACAUUCCAGGAUUUUCCAAAACGUAUCUGUACUGACCUCCAUCCAAAAACCAGUAUAUUUCUGACCUCGGAGUCCCGAAAGAUGCUGUGUGUUCUUCAGGGAGGAGAGAGUAAUUAGAAAUGGAAAAGUGAGUUUUUGAGUGGAUUUAAUCCCAACGAAGCAUGGAUGGGAGAAGAAAAAAAAUCAAGGGUUUUAAAAUGUUAUUGCAAAGCCUGUCUGCACCCUUACCUGUGCCACCCUCACAGUAAGUGGCUCUAUCGAUUUCCCAUUUGGUCAUUAACACCUAUUAUCUCACUCCCCCCACAGACUUGCCAAAUUGACUUUUAACUGCUCUCAGCACUGAGACAGAAGGGGGGGCAGGAUAAUGAGCUUCCACAAUGUAUAAUUAUUAUAAAUGAGCAGAGAUAAACUACACCUGUCAAAAUAAAUGAUCAGCAUCCUAAAUCGCUGGUUUCUCCAUUUACUGUUGUGUAAACUCGAGUUAUUCACCCUCGCAAAUUUCUCCCACUGCCGUUCCCAUGACUUUUUUCCCUGGUUUGAGCCCCUAGAGUUAUCUCAGAAGGGGCUUAGUCACCUCCAAAUUCUUCUGAGGAUAAGAGAAAAGCUUGAAGUAAAUCAUUCCUGCAGGCAAUGAAUUCCUAAAUAGCUGGAGUCCCCUGAAAGAAUGUCAGGCCUGGGCUGGUAUUGUGGCUCCGUUGUCGAGCAAUGUUCAGCCCUUCAAUCAUAUCCCCUUUUUGUUCUUUCCCUGAGGUUCCGCCAAAGCGACAGAAAGACAAUGGCAGCACAGCAUAGAAGUCAAGCUAAUUUUAAAUGUAACUAUUUUUCAGGAACGUUCCGCCGACAGUAUCUUGGAUGCAGAAACACUUAUUUCCAGUCUCCGAAGUUCAAAGUCCAACUAACAAAACUAUGGACUCCCUCCAUGUCUCUCAGACUACACUUGUGUAAAAUAAUUGUCUUUUUUUUUUUGUCUUUUUGCCUUUUCUAGGGCCACUCCCGCGGCACAUGGAGGUUCCCAGGCUGGGGGUCUAAUCGGAGCUAUAGCCGCUGGCCUACACCAGAGCCACAGCAACGUGGGAUCCGAGCUGCGUCUGCAACCUACACCACAGCUCACGGCAAAUGCUGGAUCCUUAACCCACUGAGCAAGGCCAGGGACUGAACCCGCACGCAACCUCAUGGUUCCUAGUCAGAUUCGUUAACCACUGCGCCAGGAUGCCUUCUCCAAAGCAACUGUCCAUUAAUGAGAAUACACGUACCUCUUUUUCUUGUGAUUUUUUUUUUUUUCUUACUACCUGGGUUUGCUGGUCGGGAUUCUCAGGUUGUGAGCAACAGAAAAAAGGACAGGAGCUUUGUUGGAAGAACAAUGAGGUCCCUCAGGAGAGAGAGAAGGGGACAGGUUACCUCCUGGGGCAUGGGAUCAGAUCAAUCUUAGCCCCCCCCCCCCUUUUUGGUCUUUUUAGGGCCACACCCACAGCAUAGGGAAGUUCCCAGGCCACGGGUCAAAUCGAAGCUGCCCGUCUACACCACAGCCAUAGCAGUGCCAGAUUUGAGCCACGUCUGUGACCUACACCACAGCUUACAGCAACACCAGAUCCUUAACCCACGGAGUGAGGCGAGGGAUUGAACCUGCGUCCUCAUGGAUCCUAGUAGGGUUCAUUACCUCUGAGCCGCAAUGGGAACUCCCUUCCCAUUCUUUUGAGAGAAGAUCUGAUUGACCUUGAGAGAGCCAUGUAUCCAACAACCAGGGGAGAAUGAGCACGAUAUUGUAAAAGCAAGCCUACAACCAGAAGAAGGGAAAAUAAGAACAAAAAGAA